UGGUCUGCAACUCGACCACACGAAGCUGGAAUCGCUAGUAAUCGCGAAUCAGCAUGUCGCGGUGAAUACGUUCCCGGGUCUUGUACACACCGCCCGUCACACCAUGGGAGUCAGCAACGCCCGAAGUCAGUGACCUAACCGAAAGGAAGGAGCUGCCGAAGGCGGGGCAGGUAACUGGGGUGAAGUCGUAACAAGGUAGC
rnacentral:rRNA from 1 species